GAUGAACGCUGGCGGCGUGCCUAAUACAUGCAAGUCGAGCGAACGGACGAGAAGCUUUCUUCUCUGAUGUUAGCGGCGGACGGGUGAGUAACACGUGGAUAACCUACCUAUAAGACUGGGAUAACUUCGGGAAACCGGAGCUAAUACCGGAUGAUAUUUUGAACCGCAUGGUUCAAAAGUGAAAGACGGUCUUGCUGUCACUUAUAGAUGGAUCCGCGCUGCAUUAGCUAGUUGGUAAGGUAACGGCUUACCAAGGCAACGAUGCAUAGCCGACCUGAGAGGGUGAUCAGCCACACUGGAACUGAGACACGGUCCAGACUCCUACGGGAGGCAGCAGUAGGGAAUCUUCCGCAAUGGGCGAAAGCCUGACGGAGCAACGCCGCGUGAGUGAUGAAGGUCUUCGGAUCGUAAAACUCUGUUAUUAGGGAAGAACAUAUGUGUAAGUAACUGUGCACAUCUUGACGGUACCUAAUCAGAAAGCCACGGCUAACUACGUG
rnacentral:rRNA from 1 species